CCUCGAGCGCUGCCAGCCAAUCCCGUCAGACGCUCCACGCGUCACCCGCGCUGAUUGGCCGGCGUCGGGGUCCGCGGCCUCUCCAAUAUGGCGGCGCCCAGCGGAGUCCGCUCCUGCGAGGACUUUGCCGAGUUCCAGGAAUUGCUCAGGGUGAUGCGGACAAUUGAUGACAGAAUAGUCCAUGAAUUAAACACUACGCUUCCAACAGCUUCCUUUGCAGGGAAAGUCGAUGCCAACCAAACCUGUAAAGAGCUCUACCAGUCUCUGAGGGAGGCUCAUGCCAGCAGAGAGAAAAUAAUCAAAAGCUGUAUUGCUCAGACUUCCAAUGUAGUAAAAACUCUCCGAGAAGAGAGGGAGAAGGCCCAGGAUGAUGUAGCAUUAUUAAAGCAGCUCAGGCAAGAGCAGACAAAGUUGAAGCUGAUGCAGUCUGAGUUGAAUGUGGAAGAAGUAGUAAACGACAGAAGCUGGAAGGUGCGUCAGGGACUUGAAGUUUCUUCCUCUGGGCAUGUACACGGCUGCCUCAGUCUUGGUGCCCAGGCGCCUAUCUCAUGCUGAAGCCCCAGCAGGAUCCUCAAACCAGGUGAAACUAGGCAUUACCCUGCCUGUCUUGCCUGCAUGGCCCAAUCUGGUAUUUAACGAGCGCUGCAGAAUUCACUACAAGCCUCCAAAGAGCCAGUGAUACAAGGGUGCUUCCCCUGAAGUUGUUCUACAAUCAUGAGAGCAAAGCUGAAGAGACAUGGAGCAAGCUGUGAGGGACCUUUUCAGAACAGGAGAACCCAGUCUCAUUUUGUUUUCAGACUCAUCUAAUUAAAAUCUCACAUUCAGCUGAUUCUCCUAAUUAAGAGAAACCAACUCCUAUUUUGUACAAAAUGUGAAAAAACUAAUACAUUUUAUAACUAUUAAAAAAAUUUCAGAUGGAAUGA